GGGGGAUAUUGCGCAAUGGGGGCAACCCUGACGCAGCAACGCCGCGUGAAGGAUGAAGGUUUUCGGAUUGUAAACUUCUUUUAUUAAGGACGAAAAAUGACGGUACUUAAUGAAUAAGCUCCGGCUAACUACGUGCCAGCAGCCGCGGUAAUACGUAGGGAGCAAGCGUUGUCCGGAUUUACUGGGUGUAAAGGGUGCGUAGGCGGCUUUGCAAGUCAGAUGUGAAAUCUAUGGGCUCAACCCAUAAACUGCAUUUGAAACUGUAGAGCUUGGGUGAAGUAGAGGCAGGCGGAAUUCCCCGUGUAGCGGUGAAAUGCGUAGAGAUGGGGAGGAACACCAGUGGCGAAGGCGGCCUGCUGGGCUUUAACUGACGCUGAGGCACGAAAGCGUGGGUAGCAAACAGGAUUAGAUACCCUGGUAGUCCACGCUGUAAACGAUGAUUACUAGGUGUGGGGGGUCUGACCCCUUCCGUGCCGGAGUUAACACAAUAAGUAAUCCACCUGGGGAGUACGGCCGCAAGGUUGAAACUCAAAGGAAUUGACGGGGGCCCGCACAAGCAGUGGAGUAUGUGGUUUAAUUCGAAGCAACGCGAAGAACCUUACCAGGUCUUGACAUCCAACUAACGAAGUAGAGAUACAUUAGGUGCCCUUCGGGGAAAGUUGAGACAGGUGGUGCAUGGUUGUCGUCAGCUCGUGUCGUGAGAUGUUGGGUUAAGUCCCGCAACGAGCGCAACCCUUGCUAUUAGUUGCUACGCAAGAGCACUCUAAUAGGACUGCCGUUGACAAAACGGAGGAAGGUGGGGACGACGUCAAAUCAUCAUGCCCCUUAUGACCUGGGCUACACACGUACUACAAUGGAUGUUAACAGAGGGAAGCAAGACAGCGAUGUGGAGCAAACCCCUAAAAACAUUCUCAGUUCAGAUUGCAGGCUGCAACCCGCCUGCAUGAAGAUGGAAUUGCUAGUAAUCGCGGAUCAGCAUGCCGCGGUGAAUACGUUCCCG
rnacentral:rRNA from 2 species